CAAUACCGGGUGGCGACCGGCGCACGGGUGAGUAACACGUAUCCAACCUGCCCUUUACUCGGGGAUAGCCUUUCGAAAGAAAGAUUAAUACCCGAUAGCAUAAUGAUUCCGCAUGGUUUCAUUAUUAAAGGAUUCCGGUAAAGGAUGGGGAUGCGUUCCAUUAGGUUGUUGGUGAGGUAACGGCUCACCAAGCCUUCGAUGGAUAGGGGUUCUGAGAGGAAGGUCCCCACAUUGGAACUGAGACACGGUCCAA
rnacentral:rRNA from 1 species